rnacentral:rRNA from 1 species
CUAAGGCUAAAUACUCUCUAGUGACCGAUAGUGAACCAGUACCGUGAGGGAAAGGUGAAAAGCACCCCGGAAGGGGAGUGAAAUAGAACCUGAAACCGUGUGCUUACAAGUAGUCAGAGCCCGUUAAUGGGUGAUGGCGUGCCUUUUGUAGAAUGAACCGGCGAGUUACGAUUUGAUGCAAGGUUAAGCAGUAAAUGUGGAGCCGUAGCGAAAGCGAGUCUGAAUAGGGCGUUUAGUAUUUGGUCGUAGACCCGAAACCAGGUGAUCUACCCUUGGUCAGGUUGAAGUUCAGGUAACACUGAAUGGAGGACCGAACCGACUUACGUUGAAAAGUGAGCGGAUGAACUGAGGGUAGCGGAGAAAUUCCAAUCGAACCUGGAGAUAGC